AUCAAUGACAACAAAAAGAAUCCCGAAAAUAGACUGAUAACGGAAACGGCUGCCAACUUCAUCAACCAAAACAGGCGGCAAGUUCUGGACAUCGUGACACCAAUCGCUGAAGAAACCGCUCUGGAGGUCGGACUCCAAAUCAUCAGCACAAUUUUCUCAACGGUUCCUUUCGAUGAGCUCUUGCCGCAAUGAGCAUCGCGUUAAAUCAAGGUUUGUGACCAAAAAUUCCUAUGGACAGCACGGCUUGGUCGCCCCGGGAGUUUUUUGUUGCAUUUAAUCUCCACGGAGCACACUAAGCGAGAACUAAGUACUGUAGUAGUUAUGAACCACUCUGAUCAAAAUAACAGUGGUUUAGGAAGAUCGAAUAAACACUAAAAAGAUCUAUCGAUCAAAUAAGAGUAUCAUCUGUUUCCAUCAGAGCGGACAAACACACUUCUAAUUUUGAAAAAUCGUGACUUUAUAUUACAUUCUUUUGAAUUUCCUCGAGGUCCAUUGUUUGAUAUUUCUUUAAUGACAAUUUUGGUGAAUUUUCUCGGGAUGUGAGGAAAUUUUUUCAAAAUCUUCGGAAAAGUCUGUUCCGUGACUUUUAGUGAGAAAAAAAUAUUUGACAGAAAUUUUGAGACGUUAAAAUAAAUUUAUAUCCUGUUCGCUUCCGACGAAUCAUCAUGAUCCAAUGAAUGUUUGUCUUGCAAAAGAAAACGCGUUAUAUUAUACUAAUAAGUUGGCUGAAGAUAACUUAACUUAAUCGUCUGAUCUCUAAGCAUUACAGUUAUUAAACAAUUACCUACAAAGAAAUAAUAUUCCUGAAAAAGAUAUGGAACGCUUCGAAAUUAUUCAAAAACCCGAAUUUUCCAAUUUGAGCAGGAAUAGAUGAUGUCUUUGUUGAUACUCAGUUACCUGCCAACAUCUAAAAACACAGCAGUGUGACAUUUUUCAACGUCAGUCAUUGGCGAUCAAUUGAAUCUAACAUUAAUGAGAUACUAAUAUAGCUUGUAAUGCAAUCGAUUUUCUUUCCCUAAAAUAUGUUCACAGUAAAAUUUCAAUCAAACUAACAAAGGAACAUGAUUACAGUCUUUGGCGCAAAUUUUUAGUUCAUCGGUCAAAAUUCUCCGUGAGUUCAGUUUCAGUCAAAUUAGCUUUAUUUUAAAAUUAUGAGGAUAACUUCACGCAGAUAAAGUUAAAUUCCCUCCGACCAGCUCCCAUGAUUUAGAGUUUCCUCUGACUAUUUUUUAGUGCAAAUAUGAGAGAAUCGGU
rnacentral:lncRNA from 1 species